GCGGGACACAAGUCUUGGCAGACAUACUGUUGAACUUCAAGUACCAUGAUUCCUUUCUCGGACGCCCAACCCUCCCCUCCACGUGUUUACAUGCCCACAGUGUGAUUUAAUUAACAAACGCCACGCCAAAAUUAAAACACACACCGCUGGCAAUACAAGGCACUGGUCUAACCAAUCCAAAACUACCGCUGAGAGAGCCUGCGGCGGGUGUGUUCACAGGCAGCACGUUUCAAAAUGUUACCAAGAAAGCAAGUAAUGGCAAAAAAAACCCCAAAAGAAGACACUACAAUAUGGCACGGAGUAGGAGUAAAAAUGAAGAUAUUAGCUGCCAUGUGUGAAUCCGCUGACUACACGGACAGGGGCGACUCGACAGCGUGAGCAGAGUGAUGUUGACAAUUUGCCCCCUUCCUAAUUAGAAUGGUAAGUGACAGGGGUGAUUGUUGUUAACCGCAGAAAUGACAUUGCUAAAGAGCACAGGGCCAUCCACACAGCUGGAAGCUCAGUGACACAUACAUCGCCAUGGUAACACUGUCAGGCAGAGGGACACGAAGGCACAAAACAAGGUGAGAGGGGACUUAUGGGUAAUGCACCUGUCAGAUAGGACCUUGCUGCCUGUGUGGUGUUCAGUGACUCAACAGAGGCUGGCCGGGACAAUGGGGAAAUGAACAAAUGCCCGUGGCGUUGGGUAAUGAGACCUCCGGCAUCGCGACUCCUUACCAGCUGGUCACUGCCCCCGGAAUGAAACUGCAGAUAAAGUUAAUGAAAUGUCAUUUUUGAUCCCCCAAAACUUUCUUUUUUUGGGGGGGGAUGGAAGAGGGGCUAUUUUCCCCCUAAAUUAUUAUUCUGUCUUUGAGUGCCACAUCCUCAAAUCUGAAAACACACACAGCCCUGUUCCCGUUGUAAUGGCAUUUCAGAUUCCCGCUGCCAGUGCAAUAAGAUCCUGAGUGACACAUGCAAAUGAGGACUGUAAUAUCAUGCCAAGGAAGACCCCCUGCUCCCCCUCCCACCCUCCAGCACAACAACAAGACGGAGAAUAACUUCAUAAUCUUCAUUAUUAAUCGCCAUUUCUGGAAAAGUCCAUCAAAUAUCACUUCGCAAACAAUCCCCUUGCAUUUACUCAGUCUUGGAGUUAUUUGGAUGUGCACUGUGAGUGUUUGCUCAACAAACCUUGGAGUUAAUUGUGUUGUUAUCUCAAUUUUCCACAAGUUUCAAUAUUUGUUUCCCUUAGAAUAAAUUCUUGAAAUGGAACUUUAUGAAGUAG